rnacentral:rRNA from 1 species
AGAGUUUGAUCAUGGCUCAGGAUGAACGCUGGCGGCGUGCCUAAUGUAUGCAAGUCAAGGGGGCUCCGCAAGGAGCAACCGGCGGACGGGUGAGUAAUGCGUGGGAAUCUACCUAGAAGUUGAACAUAGCCUUCCGAAAGGAAGGGUAAUUUUCAAUGUGAUCGCAAGAUUAAAGAUUUAUCGCUUCUAGAUGAGCCUGCGUCCUAUCAGUUUGUUGGUGGGGUAAAAGCCUACCAAGACUACGACGGGUAGCUGGUCUGAGAGGAUGGUCAGCCACAAUGGGACUGCGACACGGCCCAUACACCUACGGGUGGCGCAGCAGGGAAUUUUCGGCAAUGGGCGCAAGCCUGACCGAGCGACGCCGCGUGGAGGAUUGAAGGUCUUAGGAUCGUAAACUCCUUUUAUCUGGGAAGAUUAUGACGGUACCAGAUGAAUAAGCACCUGCUAAUCACGUGCCAGAAGCCUCGGUAAGACGUGAGGUGCAAGCGUUAUCCGGAUUUAUUGGGCGUAAAGUGUUGCGUAGGCGGAUUUGCGCAUUUUGCUUAAAAUGCUAUGGCUCAACCAUAGUUUUGGGCAAAAUAUGGCAAAUCUUGAUGGUCUAAGAGGGUACUGGAACAGAACAUGUAGCAGUGAAAUGCGUUGAUAUGUUCUGGAACACCAAAGGCGUAGGCAGGUACCUGGGAGACUCAUGACGCUGAGGCACGACAGCUUGGGGAGCGAAGUGGAUUAGAUACCCCAGUAGUCC